UCGUGUCAUGGAGCCUGCCUGACGGAGGCAUCGUUCUGCUGCCCAAUGUAAAAUGUUUGUUUAGACUUGACGCUUGUGGCAUUCAGGCGCUGGGUUCACGUGCUAAAUGCAUGGAGAGGUGUAAGAAGCUGUGUUGAAAAGGGUAACUGCUUUGUCAUGCUGACUGCGUUCUUCUGGACCUGCAUCACAUCUAUAGCUAUUUUUACUUAUUUAGCAGACGUGACUGACAACUCAGUUAUGACCAGUAGGCUACAUUUAAGAGUGCACUCAAGCGCUUUAUAUUUAGUCAACUGGGCAAAACUGGUUGAAUCAACGUUGUGUCCACAUAAUUACAACAACAAGAAUCUACGCGAUGACGUUGAAUCAACGUGGACAACCAAUUGGAUUUGCAAAAAGUCAUCAACAUAUUGUCUGGCAGCUCCUCUGAUUUGAUGAAAUCCAUAAUGGCCUUAUAAAAGUUACCGAGGGCAACUGGAAUAGCUACUCUCUCCUCUUCCUCGGAGAUGGCCGGUUGAUGAAUAUAGAACCCAAGCUGUCAGUUGUGAGGCGGAGAGACGUCUCGGAGGUUGCCUGUCAGUCAUUGGGGGAACGUGUCAGAAAGUGAAAAGGCAGCGUUAAGACGUCAGACACAUUUACAUUGAGCCCUGUCUGCUGGAGAAAGCCUCUCCCUCGCCAGUGACAAAUGUUGAUUCUACAAUAACGGCCGAGACGCAGCGCUGCAAAAAUCUUUUUCUUUCAGCGAGCGAACCCCCUCGUCCUAUUAGACCUGAUGCAGUGUGAAAUCCACCCUCACCAUUUCCUCUAGCUUCCUGGAAAAGUAAAGUAACAUGAAUAUGGGCUCCGAGGAGAGGCUACAAUUUUCACGUACGUGUACACACACUCAGGCACACACUUCAGUCUCCGGCUCUUUAUUUGUCUGUGCCUGGGAAGGCCGAGGCCUCUUGCAGCCCAAGCGACCUAAGCAACAGCUGGUGUGCACAGACACAUUUCCUAUUUCUGCCCAAGGUGGAUCAUAUAACUCUCACUUUAUCACCCUUGGAGGCCAUGUGAAGGACAAAAUGAGCACGCCCAUAAACAAAACUAAUGUUUUCAUACUGGCCCUCUGGAGGUGGUAGAAGGGGCCCUUGGCGAGCCAACACCCCCCCACCACCACUCCCGCUAAUCCAACCCACCUCCGGCUUGGCUCCUACCCAUAUCAACCUAGACCUCGACCCCACCAGCCCUUUCCUCCUCGAGGGUCCCACUUUCCUUCGGUCUCACCCCCGUCUCCAGCCCACUACCCAUCAUGACACAGGCCACUUAGGCCAGCACUAUGGCGAUGCUUUGAAUGUGGUGCCUGAAUUUAUGAAUUUAUACAAUUUUCUAUGUCAUUUCUAGUCAUAAAUGCAAUAGGCCUAGUAUGCAUUUAUGAAAAUGACAGCGUUUUGGUAAUGGCCAUAGACGUUUGUACUUGUUUUUUUUAACUCCACAUCUUCAUCUGUUGUCCCCUUCCUACCAGUCCUUCCACAGUAGUACUUCUAAAGGCACAGGCCUCUGGAUAUCUCGCCCUUCCCUCUCCUAUCUCGAGUGUUAUUGGCUGCAGAGCCAGCGGCUGCAGAUACACAGCAUAGCAGCCGGCCCUCAGUGACCCGAUAACAUUUAUCGUUGUAAUGGAUUUUUUUUUAUGCCUGUCAUUAACUCACAGGCAGAGGGGGAAAAAGAUUGCUUGUACCAUUUUUUUUCUGUGGUAUUUCGACUUUAUGACAUUAUGUUCAGAUAUGUAAUCUUCCAUCAUCCUAGUUUUAGGGCCUGUCUGACCUGUCACUGCUUUCUGUGUUUAAAUGCAUAGCCCUUUGUGUGCUGUGUGGACUCUCCUUGUAUCUAGCUAUUGUAAUGAAUAUUUUAUGAAGCUAAAUUAAAAUGGUUGAAAGACA